CCUACGGGAGGCAGCAGUGGGGAAUAUUGGACAAUGGGCGAAAGCCUGAUCCAGCCAUGCCGCGUGUGUGAAGAAGGUCUUCGGCUUGUAAAGCACUUUAAGUUGGGAGGAAGGGUUGUAGAUUAAUACUCUGCAAUUUUGACGUUACCGACAGAAUAAGCACCGGCUAACUCUGUGCCAGCAGCCGCGGUAAUACAGAUGGUGCAAGCGUUAAUCGGAAUUACUGGGUGUAAAGCGCGCGUAGGUGGUAUGGUAAGCCAGAUGUGAAAGCCCCGGGCUCAACCCGGGAAUUGCAUUUGAAACUGACUGGCUAGAGUAUAGUAGAGGAUGGUGGAAUUUCCAGUGUAGCGGUGAAAUGCGUAGAUAUAAGGAAGAACACCAGUGGCGAAGGCGACUACCUGGACUGAUACUGACACUGAGGUGCGAAAGCGUGGGGAGCAAACAGGAUUAGAUACCCCGGUAGUC
rnacentral:rRNA from 1 species